GGAAAAGAAGUCACAAAAUAUAUCGUAUUUUUAAAGCUUUAUGAAUUAAACCUAUGGAAUGUAUCUUAAAUUUACUGAAUAUUUCAUGCAAUGCAACAAGUCCGAUAUUAAAAGAACUCAACAAAAUAAACCGUUCAUGCAAGUGAAGAAGUUACUCUCAUUCUUUUGAAAGUCUUAUGGCAUAUGGCGAUCAUGAUAUGUGUUAUUAUUUCAGUUGGGCAGUGACAUGUUUGACCAAUCCGAUGAGAAUUCUCUGUUCGUCGAUAACAGCUUGCCCUCAAGUAUACAUUACCAACAAAUCUGGCCAUGGCAAUGACAGUUCUGGGGUUAACCUGUAGCACUUCAUGUUCAACUUGUGGACUUAUCGGUGCUUUAAAAACAUCAGGAAAAGUGUAUGAUCCAUAUGAAACGACUAACUCGAAACACAAAGCAAGAAAUAAAAACGCAAGACGAAAACUAAGACGGUAAAAAUUGCCUUUGCAGAUCGGCAUAAAAUCUUUCGCGUCGUCUGCCGGUUGUUUGUUUUCAGGUUCACCGUGCGACGUGCCCUUAAAAUUUCUCAUCCCAGACUUGUGAGAUAUGAAAAAUCCAUCGGGAGGUGGAGUCCACUGUUAUUGUUGAUUUUCGCAGACGACCGAAGUUAUCCCUCUUCGCCCCCUGCAGCGAUGGUUCGUUUUCGAAAAGCCAAGUGGGCCGUCUGAAAGGGGAAGCAUUGAACUUUGUCACGGUACAAUGGACAACAUCGCCCGCUGGCGCCCCCUCGAGCGCGCGCCUGGUAAACCAAACGGGGCCAGAGGGAAGAUUCGAACGCAGCCAAGCUGUGUGAAGCCGCGACACUGAGAAGUGGUUUACAUUUUUAUUUCUCCGUUCUUUAAGCCAUUUUAUUCAUGUGCGAUCCUCUGCUUGAACCUUUGAUUGAUCAUUAAUGCGUGCCGUGCCCUCGUUUCUUUGUGUCACUUUGCUUUCACUCUGCUUCCUUGAUAUGCUUUGUGAUUGUGAGGGACAUAACCCCAUCUUCGUAGUUGAGCAAGCUUGCUGCAGAAUGUUUUGCUCAAAUCUUUUCUGUUCCCUAAUAUACUGCUUUGUUGUUUAAGGAUUCGAGGUGGAUUCAGUGUUGAUUGAGCUGUGUGGAGAAGCAGCAAAAGUGGCUGAUGGUUCUACAUGCAACGACUGUUUGGAGAUACUCGGCAAGACGACACUUUCUACAGACUUCCAGACCAGUGGAGCGCAUGUUGAGGCCUGAUUCUUCAAAGGUGAUGGGAUGCUCGCUUCUCAUUUUUGUUUCUGACUGUUCAUGGGUGCACUCGUCUCUGCAUUCUACCACACGCUGUUUUUGACCUCUGCUUUGGUGUGGUUGCUGUUUCUUCACCAACUCACCAACUUACGUGGGCUCAUCCUUUCCAUCCAGACUGCAUGGAUCAUCGAUUCUGAAUUUAUGUGGUUGAUGUCUAGUGAAGAGAUGUGUCUUGGUAGUCUCCAUGUGAGUGAGGUCUUUUAUAGAUUUGUCUCUAAAUGCAAGUAGAUUUUUUUUUUCGUAUUUGAACAUCUCUUAGGUCUGAAUUGCCAUUAAGUACAGCCUAGAGCCACAUAUUUUGUCAAUCUUGUUGGUUUUUUGGGUUGUGUUCCUCGGUUGUUGUUCCUUCUGAACUGACACCCCUUCACUUGUAUAGACUUUCAUUAAAUUUACUGCAGCUGAGCUUAUUUUUAUGUUUCCUGAUAUGCAGCUACAGUGAAGUAUUUUCUGUCUUUCUAUAAAUUUAUACGAGAUUAAGUUUGUUUUUAAGAAAGGAAGCCUUCUAGUAUGUUUAAAAUCUGUCAUAAACAUAUUUUUCUAAGAAUUUCAAAGUGCAUUUGUAAGCAGCAGGCCAACCGAAAUCAGAGCGCUGCAUUUUGUGUUGUUCUGUAAAAACAAUCUGUUUGAAAUGUUUUUGUUUGGUUUAUGCUUGUGGAUACGGAAUUUGAAAAGGAUUUGAAAAAUUACAACAACUUCAACACUUUUUGAACUUUUUUUCUGAUUAUGUCUAUGGAAUUAUGUAAUUAUAGCCUUGUCUGUUGGCAUUUGAAUCUGUAAUUUUGAUGUAAAGUGUAGUUGGCUAUUUCUUUUCUCUGUUGUGAUAAGUUAAGGAAAAGUCUCAAAAAUUUGUUCUGAUUAUUCUCUUUUGGAGUUGUUAUAAGGGAUUUAGUCAAGUGUUUGUUUUUGUGUCCCAGAUCAAGCUCAUGUAAGCUAAGUUUGAUAAGAUUAGGCCAGAGUAGACUU
rnacentral:lncRNA from 1 species